rnacentral:rRNA from 1 species
GAUGAACGCUGGCGGCGUGCCUAAUACAUGCAAGUCGAGCGAACAGACGAGGAGCUUGCUCCUCUGACGUUAGCGGCGGACGGGUGAGUAACACGUGGAUAACCUACCUAUAAGACUGGGAUCACUUCGGGAAACCGGAGCUAAUACCGGAUAAUAUAUUGAACCGCAUGGUUCAAUAGUGAAAGACGGUUUUGCUGUCACUUAUAGAUGGAUCCGCGCCGCAUUAGCUAGUUGGUAAGGUAACGGCUUACCAAGGCAACGAUGCGUAGCCGACCUGAGAGGGUGAUCGGCCACACUGGAACUGAGACGCGGUCCAGACUCCUACGGGAGGCAGCAGUAGGGAAUCUUCCGCAAUGGGCGGAAGCCUGACGGAGCAGCGCCGCGUGAAUGAUGAAGGUCUUCGGAUCGUAAAACUCUGUUAUUAGGGAAGAACAAAUGUGUAAGUAACUAUGCACGUCUUGACGGUACCUAAUCAGAAAGCCACGGCUAACUACGUG